rnacentral:rRNA from 1 species
AACGAACGCUGGCGGCAGGCUUAACACAUGCAAGUCGAACGGGUGCAGCAAUGCAUCAGUGGCAGACGGGUGAGUAACACGUGGGAACCUUCCUAGGGGUACGGAACAACUCAGGGAAACUUGAGCUAAUACCGUAUACGUCCGUGAGGAGAAAGAUUUAUCGCCCUUAGACGGGCCCGCGUCGGAUUAGCUAGUUGGUGGGGUAACGGCCUACCAAGGCGACGAUCCGUAGCUGAUCUUAGAGGAUGAUCAGCCACACUGGGACUGAGACACGGCCCAGACUCCUACGGGAGGCAGCAGUGGGGAAUCUUGGACAAUGGGCGCAAGCCUGAUCCAGCCAUGCCGCGUGAGUGAAGAAGGUCUUCGGAUUGUAAAGCUCUUUUGCCAGGGACGAUAAUGACGGUACCUGGAGAAUAAGCCCCGGCAAACUUCGUGCCAGCCGCCGCCGUAAGAC